rnacentral:rRNA from 1 species
UACGGAGGAUCCGAGCGUUAUCCGGAUUUAUUGGGUUUAAAGGGUGCGUAGGCGGUUUGAUAAGUUAGAGGUGAAAUGUCGGGGCUCAACCCCGAAACUGCCUCUAAUACUGUUGGACUAGAGAAUAGUUGCGGUAGGCGGAAUGUAUGGUGUGGCGGUGAAAUGCUUAGAGAUCAUACAGAACACCGAUCGCGAAGGCAGCUUACCAAACUAUAUCUGACGUUGAGGCACGAAAGCGUGGGUAGCAAACAGG